UUGAUAGAAGCCAAAAAGAGGCAAACCAUUGUUAAUGAUUUAAUUGAAAUUAUUUUUCCUAUCAAU
rnacentral:tRNA from 1 species